rnacentral:rRNA from 1 species
GUUGAACGCUGGCGGCGUGCCUAAUACAUGCAAGUCGAGCGAACAGAUGAGGAGCUUUCUCCUCUGACUUUAGCGGCGGACGGGUGAGUAACACGUGUAUAACCUACCUAUAAGGCUGGGAUAACUUCGUGAAACCGGAGCUAAUACCGGAUAAUAUAUUGAACCGCAUGGUUCAAUAGUUUAAGACGGUUUUGCUGUCACUUAUAGAUGGAUCCGGUCCGGAUUAGCUAGUUGGUAAGGUAACGGCUUACCAAGGCAACGAUGCGUAGCCGACCUGAGAGGAUGACCAGCCACACUGGAACUGAGACACGGUCCAGACUCCUACGGGAGGCAGCAGUAGGGAAUAUUGCGCAAUGGGCGCAAGCCUGACGGAGCAACGCCGCGUGUGUGAUGAAGGUCUUCGGAUCGUAAAGUUCUGUUAUCAGGGAAGAACAAAGGUGUAAGUAAACCUGCACGCAUUGACGGUACCUAAUGAGAAAGCAACGGCUAACUCCGUG